rnacentral:tRNA from 1 species
GCUAGCGUAGCUUAAUUAAAGCAUAACACUGAAGAUGUUAGGAUGGACCCUAAAAAGUCCCGUAAGCACAA